rnacentral:miRNA from 3 species
ACAGAUUCGAUUCUAGGGGAAUA